AUCUUAAAAUUUUAUUAUGGUGUAGUGUUUUCCCGGAGUGGAUUGAGAGUAAUUCUGAUUAUUGUUUAAUUUUAUCAUAUUGAUUCCAUUAUGUGUUAUUACUUUUAAUAAUAGUUGCCACACGCUUUUCUCUUAUUGGUUCGCACUCUUUAUUUAUGAGUUCAGAGUUGAUCUUAUUUUAUUACACCAUUCAUAAUGGAUUUAUUCCAAAAAAGUGAGCCUCUGGUAAGUAUAAUAUUAUCUAGUGUAGUUACAACUUUUAAAAAUAUUGUAAUUAGUUUACGAUUAUCAGAAUAAUUUUGUUUAUCGUACGUUAUUAUAAUUCUAUAUACUUGUGUUAGUUUAAUUCAUAUCUUCAAAUUCUCACCAAUAGAAAAUUAUGUUUAUUAACUGAACUGACUUGUGCUUCAAAUGAUAUGGAUUUUAAUAAUAGACAACAUUUCAUUUUACCUUCGUCUACAUCGUUUAAAUCUUCCACCUCUCCUACUACAAUAAAUUAAACACUUACGAAUAAUGAAAUAAACCUAUGUAAUGGUCAUUGUAUUGAAAAUUAAAUUUUUAACAAAUAGCUAGAAGAACAAAAGGUUAGCGUUCCACUAAGCUACACCCAGUCUUAUACCUUUUCUUUCUAUCAAAGGAAAUUUUUUUUGUAUGCUAAAAUGAUGUAAUUGUGAAGGUCAGUUACGGUCCUUUCUGUGCUUUGUUACUAUCCUAAUCUAAACUAAUCCAUAAUGUUUAUGUCAAUAUUGGAACUGAGCGAUGCAGUAAAAUUAACCGGCUUCUCUAUCAAUACUUACAUUUAUCUUACACGAUAAAACUGAGUAUUUGAUAGUAAUAUUUACAGAUUUAUUAUCCAGUAGUUUAUUUGUUUAAACAUCAUAUCAUCAUAUUGAAACAUCAGAUUUGUUAUGCAGUGAUAAAUUAAUGCAUGAUUAACUAUGAAGAUCAUGGUUCUCAAAAAAAAUUUCAUUAAAAGAAAGUUUGUUAUAUAAAAGUUUUACUGUAUUCACAUUUUUUUAGAUCCUUUCUGAUGUCCAUGAAGAAAUUAUUGCUAGAUUUUUAAAGUAUGCUCAGUUUGGAGAAACAACUACUUAAUGGAGGAAAUCUAUAAUCUUUAUUAUUAAUUAAGGCAGUUUUGUAAUAAAUUAAAGUUAAUUAAAUGUCAUUUCAACUUCAAUACAAAUUCAGUGUGCAUUUAAGAUUUGAAUAAAGAAUAACUGGUGGAAUAUUAUCA